rnacentral:rRNA from 1 species
UACGAGAGCUCCAAGCGUUAUCCGGAAUUAUUGGGCGUAAAGGGUGCGUAGGUGGUGUUGUUAGUCUUUCGUUAAAUCUCCGGGCUUAACCUGGAAACCGCGAAGGAAACGGCAACACUAGAGUGUGUGAGGGGUGUAUGGAACUCUAGGUGUAGGGGUGAAAUCCGUUGAUAUCUAGGGGAACACCAAAAGCGAAGGCAGUACACUGGCACACAACUGACACUCAAGCACGAAAGCGUGGGUAGCGAAUGGG